UUACCCCCCCACUAAUUAACCCCCCCCAGGCCAUCUGGCUGCUCUGCACCGGUGCCCGUGAGGCCGCCUUCAGGAACAUCAAAACCAUCGCCGAGUGUUUGGCGGAUGAACUCAUCAACGCCGCCAAGGGCUCCUCCAACUCCUACGCCAUUAAGAAGAAGGACGAACUGGAGCGCGUUGCCAAAUCCAACCGCUAGGGGGCGCUGCGGGGCCGCGCCGCUCCGGGACCCCAUUGAGCGGGGGGGGAUUUGUGGGAUCCCCAUUAAAACGGGGGGGUUGUGGGGCCGCCCCCCAACUCGCGCCCCGCACGGGGGCUGUGUCACCGCCCCCCCCCAAAAAAAAAA